GAUGAACGCUAGCGGCAGGCCUAACACAUGCAAGUCGAGGGAGAAGCCCUUUCGGGGGCCGAAACCGGCGCACGGGUGCGUAACGCGUAUGCAACCUACCUUUCACAGGGGGAUAGCCCGAAGAAAUUUGGAUUAAUACCCCAUAAUAUUGUUGGAUGGCAUCAUUUGGCAAUUAAAACUGCGGUGGUGAAAGAUGGGCAUGCGUCCUAUUAGCUAGUUGGAGUGGUAACGGCACCCCAAGGCUACGAUAGGUAGGGGUCCUGAGAGGGAGAUCCCCCACACUGGUACUGAGACAGGGACCAGACUCCUACGGGAGGCAGCAGUGAGGAAUAUUGGUCAAUGGUCGGAAGACUGAACCAGCCAUGCCGCGUGCAGGAAGAAUGCCUUAUGGGUUGUAAACUGCUUUUAUAUGGGAAGAAUAAGGCGUACGUGUACGUUGAUGACGGUACCAUAUGAAUAAGCAUCGGCUAACUCCGUG
rnacentral:rRNA from 1 species